rnacentral:lncRNA from 1 species
GGUGGAGUUGUGUUGGAUAUCCAUGUGAGGUUUUAAGCUGUUUUAGUUUUUAUUUGACAACAUUAUAUCAGAAAUGAACAUUAUAUCAGAAAUUAUUAUGGACUCCAGUGCACUAAAUAUACAGUAGAACUGAUCAGGUGUUAUAUUAGUAGUGAAGUAUACAUACAUACCAUUGUGUUUAUUUAACUAAGCAAGUCCGUUAAGAACAAAUUCUUAUUUACAAUGACGGUCUAGGUAACAGUGGGAUAACUGCCUUGUUCAGGGGCAGAAGGACAGAUGUUUACCUUGUCAGCUCAGAGAUUCAAUCCAGCAACUUUUCAGUUAUUGGCCCAAUGCUCUAACCACUAGGCUACAUGCCGCCCCAUUUAAUGUGUAUGUUGGGGCCUAGUCCCUCAUCCAGCGACUGUCAACACAACACCUCAGUCGUUACACCAAGAGAUAUGAAACCCUUGACAAGGUUGCUAGGUGUUGGGUUAAGGUCACUACAGUAUAAACUCAGUAUAGACCAGGUUAUGAGGUUGCUAGGUGUUGGGUUAAGGUCACUACAGUAUAAACUCAGUAUAGACCAGGUUAUGAGGUUGCUAGGUGUUGGGUUAAGGUCACUACAGUACAAACUCAGUAUAGACCAGGUUAUGAGGUUGCUAGGUGUUGGGUUAAGGUCACUACAGUAUAAACUCAGUAUAAACCAGGUUAUGAGGUUGCUAGGUGUUGGGUUAAGGUCACUACAGUAUUAACUCAGUAUAGACCAGGUUAUGAGGUUGCUAGGUGUUGGGUUAAGGUCACUACAGUAUAAACUCAGUAUAGACCAGGUUAUGAGGUUGCUAGGUGUUGGGUUAAGGUCAAUACAGUAUAAACUCAGUAUAGACCAGGUUAUGAG